rnacentral:rRNA from 1 species
GUCGAACGAGAGAUGAAGAGCUUGCUCUUCGAAUCGAGUGGCGAACGGGUGAGUAACGCGUGAGGAACCUGCCUCAAAGAGGGGGACAACAGUUGGAAACGACUGCUAAUACCGCAUAAGCCCACGGCUCGGCAUCGAGCAGAGGGAAAAGGAGUGAUCCGCUUUGAGAUGGCCUCGCGUCCGAUUAGCUGGUUGGUGAGGUAACGGCCCACCAAGGCGACGAUCGGUAGCCGGACUGAGAGGUUGAACGGCCACAUUGGGACUGAGACACGGCCCAGACUCCUACGGGAGGCAGCAGUGGGGAAUAUUGCACAAUGGGGGAAACCCUGAUGCAGCGACGCCGCGUGGAGGAAGAAGGUCUUCGGAUUGUAAACUCCUGUUGUUGAGGAAGAUAAUGACGGUACUCAACAAGGAAGUGACGGCUAACUACGUGCCAGCAGCCGCGGUGAAACGUAGGUCACAAGCGUUGUCCGGAAUUACUGGGUGUAAAGGGAGCGCAGGCGGGAGAACAAGUUGGAAGUGAAAUCCAUGGGCUCAACCCAUGAACUGCUUUCAAAACUGUUUUUCUUGAGUAGUGCAGAGGUAGGCGGAAUUCCCGGUGUAGCGGUGGAAUGCGUAGAUAUCGGGAGGAACACCAGUGGCGAAGGCG